GGGGCUAUAGCUCAGCUGGAAGAGCGCCUGCUUUGCACGCAGGAGGUCUGCGGUUCGAUCCCGCAUAGCUCCACCA
rnacentral:tRNA from 1 species